CCUCCCUUCGUGUGUUCAGAGGCCAACUGUCAUUCUUGCUUCUUGCCUCAUUCUUGCCUCAGGAUGUUGUUUUAGUUUCUCUCAGAGUAAGACUCACUGUCCACAUGAAUGUUGGGAGAGAAAGUUACCCUAUGAAGAUUCUUCCAAAGCAACCAGCUGAAGUGUUCCUCUGACUUCUGGACCACAUGGCCUUAGAUAUGCAUACCAAAAGACAUUAUUCUCAUUUGUGGAAAGAUAAACCCAUUGACCCUGAAAAUAGAUCUCUUACUUCUGGCCCACAUUCAUAAUCCAAUUAUUCUUGAUCAGCGAAAUGUAAGUCCAUAAUUAAUCUGCCACCUGAGAGGGUUUGUUAUUUUCUUUAAAUUGCCUAUUAAUUUAUUAAAUUGUCCCGAUUAAGUAA